UGGGGAAUAUUGCACAAUGGGCGCAAGCCUGAUGCAGCCAUGCCGCGUGUAUGAAGAAGGCCUUCGGGUUGUAAAGUACUUUCAGUCGGGAGGAAGGUGUCAAGGUUAAUAACCUUGGCAAUUGACGUUACCCGCAGAAGAAGCACCGGCUAACUCCGUGCCAGCAGCCGCGGUAAUACGGAGGGUGCAAGCGUUAAUCGGAAUUACUGGGCGUAAAGCGCACGCAGGCGGUCUGUCAAGUCGGAUGUGAAAUCCCCGGGCUCAACCUGGGAACUGCAUUCGAAACUGGCAGGCUAGAGUCUUGUAGAGGGGGGUAGAAUUCCAGGUGUAGCGGUGAAAUGCGUAGAGAUCUGGAGGAAUACCGGUGGCGAAGGCGGCCCCCUGGACAAAGACUGACGCUCAGGUGCGAAAGCGUGGGGAGCAAACAGG
rnacentral:rRNA from 1 species